UUCACAGGACAAGUGUACACACCACCAAGAUUAAUCUAUAUAGGCCAGGGGAUAUCUACAGCUACCAAAAUAAAAUAGAGCCUUUCUUUUCAGAGAUUUAGAAACACGCCACUUUUAGGACCUGACACUAUAAUAAAAUCGCAAGGUUCAUUUCACACAUAAGAGCCCAAAAAACUAUAUAUUUUCUUCAUUAGAGCCCAAAGAGACUGAAUGGCACAGCUUGCCAAAUCAGAAUCAGCACGAUUUUUCUUUAGCCAUAAGAUGGUAGCAACAAGGAGAUGCGAUCCCAAGUCGUCUAAACGCUCCACACGGUGUGGAGACAUUGGCAAUGCAAGAAAUCCAUCAAGCACAAAUGGAACAAUUACACAAGAAAAUUGAGGAUGACUUAGAGGUCUCAAGGUAAAAUUAUCACUGCCACAUCUCUUUCUUUCUUUCUUGAUCUUAUUUUAUUAAGUGUGUAUUCUUUCUUUUGCGAAUUUUUUUUCAGAGUUGAUUUGACUUAACUUAACUGGUGUGUUUCCUCAAGCAAACGCCCUUUGUCCCAAAAUUGUUUUUAAUGUUUUGAGGCAAUUUCUUUGUUUACAUCAAUGGGGGUUUCUUUAAACCAUAGUUUUGGAAUUUUCGUUUUAAAUUGUUUGCCUUUUGGCUACAUUGUUUGGUUUUGCAUUGUCUGGUUCUUCUUUAUUCAAGAACGCACGAUCUUGUGCAAGAAUAGGUAUUAGGGUAUAUAUAAACCCUAAAAGGUUGACCCUGACCAUGAAAACAGAAAAACACUGAUGCUACGAUGAGAUGAAUUCUUUAUUCAUCGCUUGAAGAAGGAUGCUAUCUUUCAAUGUUGUUAAUGGUUGAUGGCGAUUCAUAGCGGAAAGUCAAAAAUCCGUCAUAAAAAUAUGGCAGAUACAGGGAUUGGGAUCUCUUAAGCUACACUUUCCAGAUGUACCUGUCAUGGCAUUGACUGCCACUGCAACGCAUGCAGUUCGUGAGGUAAUCAGAAUAUCAAAUCACCUUUAGAUGGUUUUUAUUUUUUAGGUCAUCUUGAAGGCUUUAAGAAUUCCCCAUGCACUUGUUCUUGAAAGAAGCUUUGACCGACCAAAUUUGAAAUAUGAAGUGAUUGCUAAGACAAAGGAGCCAAUAAAGCAGCUUGGACAGUUACUAAUUGAUCGCUUCAGGAAUCAAUGUGGAAUUGUUUACUGCCUUUCAAAAAGUGAAUGUGUUGAGCUCUCCAAAUUAUUGAAUGAGAAAUGCAAGAUCAAAACAGUGUAUUAUCAUUCUGGCUUGUCUGCCCACCAGAGAGUAGCCGUUAAAAAAAAAUGGUAAUGAUGGAGAGGUCCAUAUUGUAUGUGCAACUAUUGCUUUUGGAAUGUGGAUAGACAAACCUGAUGUUCGCUUUGUCAUCCACAAUACAAUGUCAAAAUCAAUCGAAAGCUAUUAUCAAGAAUCUGGAAGGGCUGGAAGAGAUAAUUUUUCUUCAGUUUGCAUUGCUCUACACCAGAAGAAAGAUUUUAGUAGAGUGAUAAGAAAUGGCCAAGGAUAUAAAAAGGAAAGUUUUAAGACAGCAAUGGCUCACAUCUAUGUACUGUGAAAUUAAGCAAACUAGUGCUGAGGAUUGAAUCAAACGAGGGAAUCAAGAGAUCAGAGCGGCAGACUAAUUCAAGAAAGAAACCCAAAGCAAAGCAAAAGAAGAACAAACAAAUGUUUGAUGCUAUGAAACCCAAGAAAUCUCCGUCAGCUUUCUUCCCCUUUUUUCUUUAUUUAUGCUGGUUACAUGUAAUCUUUUAUGAGGUGUUAGCUAAUCUUUGUGUUUCUCAUGUGUUAGAAUUGUUUGUGGAAAAUUGUUUGUGUUUCUAGAUAUCUGCCAUAUCCAUCUCUAGCUUUGUAUAUUCUGAGUUUCUGAGAUAUUAAGCUCUCUUGGAAGGUAGCAAAAUAUUAGCGGUUCUUUAUUAGAAUGAACAAACUGUGACUGAUGUUAUAUGCUUACUUUCUUUAGCCAUCUGACUGAUCCUUGUAAUAAUUUGCCUUUGGAGGUAAUGUCAUCUCAAAAGCAGAUGAGAUUCAUUUCAUUCUAUUUAAUGCAAUUUUACUUUUCAAUAUAUGCAGGAUUUGAUAGUAGAAUAUAUUUAGCUUUAGAGGCAUAAUGUUGAGGAGGUGAUUAUUUGAUGUUAGCAUAUAUACAAGUCAAUUUUGAAUGAAUCACCACAUCAUGUUCAAGAGAAAAAAAAAAAAAAAAACCACUCAUCUAAACAUGAUUUUCUUGUGAUAAUUUCCUUUCAAUGCUUCUAGCUUUUUUUAUUGUUCUAUGAUCAACUUCAAUAUACUGCUAUUUACUUUAUAGUUUAUAUGUAGCACUGCCACUGAACCUUGCAUAGUGGCCAUAAUUUAACAACCAACUGCUUCUUUCUUAUAUGGAAAGUCUUAUCUUCAAAAUUAUUAGGUUUACUGGAAGUUCUUUUUCUUUCUUAAGGAAGGAUCUUCAUAAAGAAUUUCAAGAGCAGAAUCCAGAUAUAAAGUCAAUAUUGGCAAGGCGUGUGGAGAGAAGUGGAAAACAAUGACCUUUGAGAACGCAUCAUCUUGUACAAGAUUUGCACGAACUCAGAGCGAGAGCAACAGGAGGAAUUGUCUACUUUCCGCAACCAGAUAUGUUCUGAAGGGUAAUCCCUAGGACCUGGAAAACUCACUUAGCAAGUCUUGCUUCAGUUAAAAACGGAUAAAAUCGAUCAAGCACAAAUGGAACAAUUACACAAGAAAAUUGAGGAUGACUUAGAGGUCUCAAGAUUGGCAAGCAUCUGGAAAGAAGUGGAUAUCAAUGACUAAUGAGG